GAUGAACGCUAGCUACAGGCUUAACACAUGCAAGUCGAGGGGCAGCGGUAUCGAAAGCUUGCUUUCGGUAGCCGGCGACCGGCGCACGGGUGAGUAACGCGUAUCGAACCUGCCUCAUACUCGGGAAUAGCCUUGCGAAAGUAAGAUUAAUGCCCGGUGUUUUCAGAGUCCCGCAUGAGGCUUUGAACAAAGAUUUAUCGGUAUGAGAUGGCGAUGCGUCCCAUUAGCUUGUUGGCGGGGUAACGGCCCACCAAGGCAUCGAUGGGUAGGGGUUCUGAGAGGAAGGUCCCCCACAUUGGAACUGCGACACGGUCCAAACUCCUACGGGAGGCAGCAGUGAGGAAUAUUGGUCAAUGGGCGGAAGCCUGAACCAGCCAAGUAGCGUGCAGGAAGACGGCCCUCCGGGUGGUAAACUGCUUUUAGUUGGGAAUAAAACGGGGCUCGUGAGCCCCCUUGCAUGUACCAUCAGAAAAAGGACCGGCUAAUUCCGUG
rnacentral:rRNA from 1 species